AGCACACAAGCUAAAGACGUCAAAUGCUCAAUCACUAAAGCAAGAUAUUUCUGACUCUAUAACAAACUGUUAAGAGAUUUGGUAAAUACUACAUUUGAUAUACAAUCAGAGGUGUAGACAUAAUACAACUUAGAAAGACUCGAAGACUUAAGAACUUAUAAAAUAUACAAGAGUCAAUAUGUUCUAAGUCUAACAACUUUUACAGAGUAACUUCUCUUUGAUUGUCAAGUUUCAGAGUCUAUAAUAGUGUGUUGUAUUGAAGUUUGG
rnacentral:lncRNA from 1 species